GAAACUUGUAAUCCUUUACAAAUUAAUAAAGAGAUAUUUUCUUAUAUAUGUCUUAAAUUUAUUCUGUAUUUUAAAUCUAUUUUAAAUAUAAAGGAAACAUGAAGAAUUUGGUUGAUGGUAAUUUGGUGCCCGCUGACUAGAGAAAUUCUCAACCUGAGUCCCUGCCUUCUUUUAACCCUUAGGCAAGGGUAGAGGUUAGGCUUCCCCACACUCUCGAGGGCUAGAAAAUUCAAAAUCCACAGGUGUAUGUCGCUUAGGCCUUAUCCUUAGGUAAGGGUUACCGUGGGCGUGUCAGAUUGGAACUUCGAUUUGACAGAUUUCCACUUCUUGUUUGAGUGGACAUCAGAGUGGACUGUUGCAGGUAAAUCCCUUCUAACUGUCAUGAUCUUAGACAUCCUACUUCAUGCAUGUCAAUCACUUAUCCUCAUCAAGGGCCAGGAUACAUUACAUGUCAUCCAACUGUCCUCCUUGAUACAGAAAACUCCAUUCAAAAGCCUUCUUUCCUUCUGUCUUCUUUAUUUUUUCAUAGAGAAUGAGAAAAUAUAGAGAAUUGAGAGCUCCUUUUGUGAGGAUUCUGAGUGUGGGAGGAAGAGAGAGAAGCAAGAGAGAGAGAGAGGGUAGAAAAAACAGAGGGUGUUGAGUGUAGGCGCAUCGAAGAGGAAUCUAAUUUCUUUCUAACUGAGCAAAAAUGAUAGAAAAUCAUGAAGAGCUAUCGGUGCAAAGCCAGAUGUUUCCUGCUGUACAGUCCAGGCACCCAAGUGUCAGCGUAGAUGGGCUACAUGGCAUCUACCAUGGUGGGGCACUGUCUAGGCGCCCACAAGUGCCAAGAUUAUGUCCUCUUGCGUGCUGCAUAUGCGCAUCACACUGCGCACGAGAGGAAGGAUACUGCUAGGCACCCCCAUUGUGCCAAGAGUGUUAUGUCGUAGGCACCAUGCGUGCCUUGUGUGCAAUGUGUGCAGGGGCACCUGCCUUGGUGCCAAGCCAUGCCUAAGACUUAUGCACCAAGGACCCACUGUUGUGCAUUAGUUCAUGGGCUGUGCAUGUCGAUAGGCAUACACGCGCUGAGUGCUUGUGCAGGUCGAUACGUCGUUAGGUUCUUAGCCUCGGGUAAGGCUUAAGGGAAAGCCUCUCCCUGCACCAAUAAGGUGCAAUAUUCAGAAAUUGUAAAAUUCAUUAAACUUGAAAUUAAUUUAAUGAAUGAAAAUGGAUAAAAUUUAUAAAGAAAGAAAAAUGAAAAAAAAAUUCAAUUUUGGAAUUAAUAUAAGAAAAUUAACACAACAUAAGAAAAUUGUGAAUAUAACGUUGCAAUUUUUGAAGAAAUGAGAAAUUUGGGAAUUUCAAUAAUAAACCUAUAAAUUGAUAUUGGUAAAUGCAUAGAUUAAGGGACCUAGACUUAAAGGCUAAUAAAUAGAAAACAAAAUGAAAUCACAUUGUUGAGUCUAAAUCUGAUUCUCUAGUUUUCUUUGGAGGUAGUGGUAAUUGUAGUAACUUGCAGGAGCCACUAGGCCUAUGACUUGGGGGUAUGUUUGAAUAGUUGGGACAUAAUUUGUCAAGGACAAAAUGUGACCAUGGCUAUCUGAGAUAGUUGCACCCACCGUGUGAAAUGAAGUCGUCUGAGAAAGUUGUUACUAUUACUAUCUAGGAUAGUUGGCACUAUGGCGACCCGAGACACCUAGCGUGUAUGGACCAAAGUGCUUAGUGUCCUUUUUCUGUACUUAUUUAUUUUAUGAUGAUGCAUGUAAUUGUUAUUGACAGAUGUAAUUUGUUUACCCAUUUCAUAGAUGGUGGUGUCCUUUGUUGUCCUCCUUGGAAAUAUGGUUAGCAGCUGCGCGCAUAAAUGUGGACUCACUUUAAUUAACUGUAAGAUAAUAAGUCUGUAAUCUCUAAAACUAUAAAAUUUUAGUCUUAAUAACAAGGUGGAGGAUAUGUGUGUUAAGACUAUUGAUUGAUUGUGAUAUUCUAGAUGUAAUACAUUGGCACUUUGAUAAGAAGAAUGGCACUAUUGAGUAGAUAAUA